GCUUACGGCCAUACCACCCUGAGAACGCCCGAUCUCGUCUGAUCUCGGAAGCUAAGCAGGGUUGGGCCUGGUUAGUACUUGGAUGGGAGACCGCCUGGGAAUACCAAGUGCUGUAAGCU
rnacentral:rRNA from 1 species